GCCCCGGUAGCUCAAUGGAUAGAGCGUCGGUGUUCUAAACCGUAAGAUGCGGGUUCGACUCCUGCCCGGGGUACCA
rnacentral:tRNA from 1 species